rnacentral:rRNA from 1 species
GGGAUAAACGCUGAAGGCAUCUAAGCGUGAAGCCCCCCUCAAGAUGAGAUAUCCAUAUAGACCCCUUGAAGACGACAAGGUAGAUAGGUCAUAGGUGGAAGUGCAGUAAUGUAUGUAGCUGAAUGUCACUAAUAGGUCGAUAGCAUUUACUAU